rnacentral:rRNA from 1 species
GUCCACGCCCUAAACUAUGUCAACUGGUUGUCGGGGGAUUAACUCCCUUGGUAACGAAGCUAACGCGUGAAGUUGACCGCCUGGGGGAGUACGGCCGCAAGGUUAAAACUCAAAGGAAUUGACGGGGACCCCGCACAAGCGGUGGAUUAUGUGGAUUAAUUCGAUGCAACGCGAAAAACCUUACCUACCCUUGACAUGUACGGAAUCUCCCAGAGAUGGGAGGGUGCCCGAAAGGGAACCGUAACACAGGUGCUGCAUGGCUGUCGU